rnacentral:rRNA from 1 species
UACAGAGGUCCCAAGCGUUGUUCGGAUUCACUGGGCGUAAAGGGUGCGUAGGCGGUCGGGUAAGUCUGAUGUGAAAUCUCACAGCUUAACUGUGAAACUGCAUUGGAUACUAUUCGGCUUGAGAGUUGGAGGGGGGACUGGAAUUCUUGGUGUAGCAGUGAAAUGCGUAGAUAUCAAGAGGAACAUCAGUGGCGAAGGCGAGUCCCUGGACAACUUCUGACGCUGAGGCACGAAAGCUAGGGGAGCAAACAGG